ACCAAGUUAAGGUGAUGACACAUCACGUAACCAUGUAACCGAAGUUGUUUCUUAUCCCUUGCUGCAAAACCAACUGUUCCCAGCUAUAGCGUGACCUUCACAGCCUUAUAUUCUUUCGUUUUCUCUCAUAGUCACAACUUUGCACACUCAGCACACUCACACAUCCAUCCAUGGCUUCCAUAACAUCAUCAUCGUCUCCAACAACAACAUCCCAUUUCAACUUUCCAAACACCAAAUUGUGUUCCUCUUUUCCCUUCUCAUUCUCUACACGCUUGCUUCCACUUCCUUCCAUAUCCCACGCGGUCUCCAAUUCCCUCAACAAAUUCAAUUCCUAUAUCAAUUCUCUGCGCUGUUCUGCCUCAAUGGAAGACGCCGAAUGGGAUUGGGAACAAUGGCGUCACCAUUUCGACGAGAUUGAUGAACAGGAAAGUCUCCUCCAUACUCUCAAGUCACGCUUCGGUGAUGCUGUGAAAUUUGAGGAUUAUGAUGAUGCGGCUGCGCUUAAGGUGGCCAUUGCAGCUGUAGCUACCAAUGACACUGUUGGAACGGUCAUAUCUGAUCUAAAUAGGGCCAUAGAGGAAGAGCGGUACAGUGAUGCAGCUUUCUUAAGAGAUGAAGCUGGCAUCGGACUUGUGGGUUGGUGGGCUGGAAUGUCGGAAGACACUAAUGGUCCACACGGUCUAAUUAUUCGCAUAACUCCAGAGCAUGGAAGAUACGUGGCAAAGAGUUAUAGUCCUAGGCAACUUGCUACAUCUGCUGCUUCUGGUGUUCCUCUAUUUGAAUUUUUUCUUAUAAAGAAUAAGAAUGGUGAAUUUAAGUCACAGGCUGUGUACUUAAAAGAGAAAGGAGCUUCCUAUAGUCCCCCAACAAAAUCUACUAAAGCUUUGGAUGCUGCUGAGAGAAUGAGUUCUGUGGAGUCACCAGAAGAUAAAAGUCAGCUAUUUGUUGGAAGUCCUGAAGAUCCAGAGGUUGUUGAUGAUAGGAAUGAUAGCUCUGAUCCAACUGAUGGAAUGCCUGGAUUUCAGAAUAUCCUGAAGGAUACGAUACCUGGUGUAAAGAUGAAGAUUUUGAAGUUCACAACUCCAGACAAAGUAGACAAGGAUAUAAUAUCUGAGGUGAUUGAGCAGAUAACUGAGGAAGAAGGGGAUGAAGAUGAAGAUGUACAUUCUAACAAGGACAAUGAGACAGAAACUCCAGAACUGAAAGAUGUUGAGUCUGAAACUGAUGAUGAGAAUGAAUUAAGAUCUAAUCUGGAAGCUGAACAUGCUGAACAAAAUAAAUUUGCAGUCAAAGCUGCCAUUGGUGGUCUUAUUCCGAAACUUUCCAGCAGUUUUCCUACAAGAGAAUUGCUUCGAGUUCCUGCAAAGUUGGAGACAUCCGGACAAGAUUCAUUUUCGUUUACCAUAAAAGAAUUAGUCAAUGAACAGGUUGGUCAUGGCAAAGGGAAACGUUCACCAGAUAAAUCAACAAAAAUUCAAGGCCAACGUAGUGGUGAUAGUAUUAUGUAUAAUCUUGCUAAGUUCAUUGGAAGGGAGAGAUUACCUUCAAAGGUUCUUAAAGAUGUGGAAGAGUUAGUAAGACUUAAUCUUAGCCGGCCUCAAAACCGUGAACGAUUGUUUGGGUCAACUAUGUUCAGUCGCAUUGAAAUACCAACUUCUUUAGAUCCUUUGAAUGGUCUAUACAUUAGUGCACAUGGGCUUUACUCAUCUGAAGUAAUUCAACUGAAAUAUAGAUAUGGCCAUUGGCAAGAAGAUGGUGAGAAUAAAGAGUCUUCCAAUCUUGAAUUUUAUCAGUAUGUGGAAGCCUUGAAACUGACUGGGGAUCCUUAUGUACCAGCAGGCCAGGUAGCAUUUCGAGCAAAAGUUGGAAAGAGGCAUCAACUUCCUCACAGUAGAAUUAUUCCCAAAGAGUAUGGAUUGGUAGGCAGUGCAUAUUCACUUGAUUGCACGCUAUAAAGGUCAGGGGAGGCUUGCGGAGCCAAAAUUUCAAAAUCCUAGAUGGGUUGACGGUGAACUUGUGAUACUAGACGGAAAGUACUUCAAAACAGGGCCUGUUGUUGGAUUUGUGUACUGGGUCCCUGAACAACCUCUUUUGGCAUUGUUCAAUCGGCUGAAGCUUCAAGGAUAGGAUUUUUUUGUUGUACUUGUACAUAAUGUCAACCUGUAAAUUCUUUCUACUGAUUCUGAAGGUAAGUUGCCCACCUUUAAGAUUUAAUAAAGCAUUUAGUAAUGAAAAUAUGGUUUUAAUCUUCUACUCAGAAAAUUUAUAUAUUUAAUUUUCCCUUCUCGGCAAGAAAUUGUAUUGUUGGCAUGGUUAGUGGAUAAAAUUUAUCUAUUAUGCUAU